CACAGUCGAGGUCGGGGGUGAGAUCCGGCUCCCGUAGGAGUCUGGGCUGAGCCUACCUGCAAUCAAUGUCAGGGAUGAAGUCUGGCUCCCUUAGGAGUUCGGACGAAGUUUACCUGUAAUCGAAGUCGAGGACGGAGCCCGGCUCCCGUAGGAGUCCGGGCAGAGCCUUUUCGUAGUCAAGGUCGGGGAUGAGAUCUGGCUUCCAUAGGAGUCCGGGCUGAGUCUACCUGCAAUCAAAGUCAGGGGUGAAGUCCGGCUCCCUUAGGAGUCCAGACGAAGUUUACCUGUAACUGAAGUCGAGGACGGAGCCCGGCUCCCGUAGGGGUCCGGGCGGAGU
rnacentral:lncRNA from 1 species